rnacentral:rRNA from 1 species
GACGAACCGUGCGAACGUUGUUCGGAAUCACUGGGCUUAAAGGGCGCGUAGGCGGUCUGUCAAGUCAGGGGUGAAAGCCUCCAGCUUAACUGGAGAAGUGCCUUUGAUACUGGCGGACUUGAGUGAGGUAGGGGUUGUGGGAACUUCCGGUGGAGCGGUGAAAUGCGGUUGAUAUCGGAAGGAACGCCGGUGGCGAAAGCGCACAACUGGACUCU